rnacentral:misc_RNA from 1 species
GAAAUGCGAUACGUAGUGUGAAUUGCAGAAUUCCGUGAACCAUCGAAUCUUUGAACGCAAAUUGCGCUCGAGGCCUCGGCCAAGAGCAUGUCUGCCUCAGCGUCGGCUACUACCCUCAACUAAGUUUCCUAUCUGCAUAGGGGAUGCCGGUUGGAUCUGGCCGUCCGGUUUGCCUUUUAGGUUGCCGGUCAGCUGAAAUAUAUUCACGCUCUGGGGGCUGCUUUCCUUCCUAGGAGAGGCGAGUUCCGAUUUGGUAGGUGACCUUUGCCGGUUGCAUGCCUUCGUUGCCCGCUAAGCUUCCCAGUAUGCGUUGUGCAGGACGCCUUUUGGCUUUCGACCUGAGGUCAGGCAAGAACACCCGCUGAACUUAA